ensembl:antisense Tmem150cos transmembrane protein 150C, opposite strand
GAGGCCUCGGUUCACCGUUGGGGCUUUGUGCUCUGUUAACUGCGAGCGUUUGUUAGUAGCCAUGUAGGCCAUGAGUGAAUGGGUUUACUGGAUUAUUUAUUUAUUUACUUGUUUAUUUAUAGACAGGGGCUCUCAAUGUAGCCCAGGCUGGCCAGGAACUUACUAUGUAGACCAGGCUGACUUCAGUUGCUUCUGUUCUCAGGGUUUAAAGGCACAUGCGUGGGUGUUUUUAGAAGAGCAGGUGAUAUUCAACAAGACGAAGAACAUGGCUGCUUUUCUCUGUUCCCAGAGGACUGGCAGGGUUGUCCUGAUGUAUGUGGGCACACAGGAGGAUGCCGUGCUAGGGUCAAUGUUAAGGGAGAUAUUCAUCACAGAGCCUACGCCAGGCAGACUCAGAGUUACCUGAUGUAUGGAGCAUGCUUCGCACCCGAUUUCCUAGAUGACAAAGCACAGAGGCACGGAUUAGGACAAUGUCACUGAUCAAGAUGUGAGCUCUCAGCUUUUCCAGCCACCAUGUCUUUGCUCUGCAAUCAUGAACUCUCUGGAACUGGAAACCCCAAACCACAUGCUUUCUUUUUUAUAAGUUGUCUCGGCCAUGGGGUUUUAUCACAGCAAUAGAACAGAAGCUAAGACAGAGCCCAUGGCCUUUUAUGUGCUAGGGAAGUGCUCUCCCAUUGGCCACACAGUCCCAGGCCAGUGACAUCAUUCUUCAUGAGUUUUCUUGAGACAAAUGUUGACUGAAUCAUCAACUAAGGGAACUUUUUCUGUGGUAAGCCAGGUCUUCUGGCACAGUGAUAACUAUUUUAUAAAUACAUCAUAUCUUGUCAUAACUAGAUUGCAAAUGGAGUCCACAGCACAUCGGUGUCAAAUGAGGAAAAUCUUGCAAAUAUUAACUCAUAUCAUCAGUUUUCAAGAUUCAUUAUAGUGGUAUAAGCCAAUCAUCCCAGGACAGGCUCCAUGCCAGCCUUUAGAGUAAGACUCUGGGUAAACAAAAAGCUUCACAAGAAGUUCACAUGGCUGUGUGUGGUGGUACAUGCCUGUAAUCUCAGCACUCGGAAGACUGUUGCAAGUUCAAGGCCAGCCUAGUCUACACAGCAAGACCUGUCUUGAUGGGGGUUAGAGGUUAAGGGAAAGAGAGAUGGAACAGAAGACAAAAACCAGUCUUCUUCAUUACCCAUUUUUGCAUAAUUUAUUAUUAAAUAUUGUUAUUGUUAAUAAAGGAUGAUAAAAUGGAGACUUUAGUAAGGUUAAACUAGUAUGUAUGUGUAUAUGUAUAAAUAUAUAUUUACUUUUAAAAAACAUCAUUUGCUAUAUAUAAAGUUACUUAUAAGUACACUUCUAUAAAUAUGUCAUAAUA